AAGACAUUCACUACACCAGAGGAGACAAAGGAAGCACGUUGCUGUUAUUGCUGUUCAUGGCCUUCUUCCAACAGUAAGGGAAGCUAGUUUGAAGAUAAACUGUACAAAGGAAAGUAAAACAAGAGAAGUGCAGCGAAAUGGUGCCGGAGCCGUGAUGCAGCUACAACCUAGAGUUCUCACAAUCUCUUAAUUUCCUGCUGUCGGCGAUAAAUGUGAUCAUUUUGGCCGAUUUGGUUCAGUUUUUCUGUUCCGUGAAGCUGAAAGCAUCCUGACACAGGUAGCUGGACAGUACUGGACCCAUCACAAUUUCAAUACUGGGAAGAGAAAAGCCAGUCCUCUGGGGAAAGAUGAAGCACUGGACCUACAAACUAACUACUUUCAACCCCUGGAUGAAUCUAGGAGCAGAUUAGUCCCGAUAUCAAGGCAAUGUCAAGAGUGAAGGGGAGGAUCAAGAUUUUUUUUGAGUGAUUGUUUCCUGGAAGGUACCAUUCAAUUGUCAGGAAUAUAGCCGGGAACAAAGGAAAAAAUACCUGCCUUCAUAGAUCAUAAAUUCUGGAGGAACAGAUUAAUAAAUAACAAAUGAAUUUACACUAUAAAAUCAGGCACACAUUGUGAAGGAAUUUGCUUUAGGCUUGAGACGGAGAAAAGGUACCUACUUUCCCAGACUCCUUGCAGUUGGAAUUUGCCAUGUGACCCACUUUUGGCAAUAGAGAGGAGAAAAAAAAAUAACAAGAAAAUGACCAUGGAAAGUAACAACAACUGAAAACGGAUAAAAUGAAGAUGUGUGAAAGAGCACAAGAGUGCAAAACCAAAAGUAUACAAGGAGUGUUUAUGCAGUAACCACUUUAGAAUGCCUUUCCUCAUGUUUGAAGACUUCUAAACUAGGGCAAGGACAGAUCCCAGCAACUACUGGAAGCAUAAUAAAGGAGAAGAAUGAGGCAUUUUCUUCUCUCAUAUACAGAUUAUAUGUAAUUAGGAUGCUAAGGAUAAUUUUGUAACAUAAAAACGGAGAUGCUAAGGAGAAUGGUUUCACCCUAGUUUAUAGAAGGAGGGUAUACUAUGGUCUAUCAAAGACUGAAAAUUGUCCUCUGCUAAUAAAGUCUCAAAUCAGGGCAAUUGGAUUUCUUUCUUUUUUUUUUUUUAUUAUACUUUAAGUUUUAGGGUACAUGUGCACAAUGUGAAGGUUUGUUACAUAUGUAUACAUGUUCCAUGUUGGUGUGCUGCACCCAUUAACUCAUCAUUUACAUUAGGUAUAUCUCCUAAUGCUAUCCCUCCCCACUCUCCCAGCCCCACAACAGGUCCUGGUGUGUGAUGUUCUCCUUCCUGUGUCCAUGUGUUCAAUUCCCACCUAUGAGUUGAGUUAGAGUUACUAGUCUCAAAUAAAUGCUUGGUAAUGCCAUACAAUCUAAACAUGUUGUCACUGUCAACUCACUAUCUCAUAUUCUGCAAUGAUACCCUUCUAUAUUCUGAAAUUCCUUCCCCAUUCUCAGCAGAUAGCCUCAGAUCAUAUAUCAUACACACAAUUGAACAUAUCACAUAGAAAUUUCAUCAGCUCACUGCCUCCAAUCCAAUGAACCUAACAUCUACUAACAUCAACACCAUCCAGGAAACCAUGACCUCACCAGAUGAACUAAAUAAGGCACCAGGGAAAAAUACCAGUGAAACAGAGACAUGUGACCUUUCAGACAGAUAAUUCAAAAUAGCUGUGUUGAGGAAACUCAAAUUCAAGAUGAUACAGAGAAGGAAUUCAGAAUUAGAUAAAUUUAACAAAGAGAUUGAAAUAAUUAAGAAUCAAGCAGAAAUUCUGGAGCUGAAAAACGCAACUGGCGUAUUGAGAAAUGCACCAGAGUCUCUUAAUAGCAGAACUGAUCAAGCAGAAGAAUGAAUUAGUGAUGUUGAAGACAGACUAUUGGAAAUGCACAGUCAGAAGAGAAAAAAGAAAAAACAAUGAAGCACGCCUACAGGAUCUAAAAAAUAGCCCCCAAAGGGCAAAUCUAAGAGUUACUGGCCUUAAAGAGGGGGGGCUCAACACCCAAGUACAAAAAGGUUAGAGAACACCAAGUAGAUUUAAUCUAAAGAAGACUACCUUGAAUCGUUUAACAAUUAAACUCCCAAAGGUCAAGGAUAAAGAAAGGAUACUAAAAGAACCAAGAGAAAAGAAACAAGUAACAUACACUAGAGCUCCAGUACACCUGGUAGCAGACUUUUCAGUGGAAACCUUACACACCAGGAGAGUGACAUGGCAUAUUUAAAGUGCUAAAGGGUGGAAAAAAAGCCUUUUACCCUGGA
rnacentral:lncRNA from 1 species